rnacentral:rRNA from 1 species
UGCUUAACAGCUAGCCCGCCUAAUCAAAAACAACAACUCAUUAUUAAUAACCCCAAAUUUACGAAGAACCACAAAACAAACCAUUUUUCCCCCCUAGUAUGGGCGACAGAAAAGGGCCCACGGAGCAAUAGAGAAAGUACCGCAAGGGAACGCUGAAAGAGAAAUGAAACAACCCAGUAAAGCUUAAAAAAGCAGAGAUUCAUCCUCGUACCUUUUGCAUCAUGAUUUAGCCAGUGCUGCCCAAGCAAAACGAAUUUUAGUUUGACAUCCCGAAACUAAGUGAGCUACUCCAAGACAGCCUAUUAAUAGGGCCAACCCGUCUCUGUGGCAAAAGAGUGGGAAGAGCUUUGAGUAGAGGUGACAGACCUACCGAACCUAGUUAUAGCUGGUUGCCUGGGAAUUGAAUAGAAGUUCAGCCUCCCGGAUUCUUUUUUCACUACAGAGUCACCUUUUCUGAUAAACCUUGAAGAAACCGCGAGAGUUAGUCGAAGGGGGUACAGCCCCUUUGAAACAAGACACAACUUUUACAGGAGGAUAAAGAUCCUA